UACGUAGGGUGCAAGCGUUAAUCGGAAUUACUGGGCGUAAAGCGUGCGCAGGCGGUUUUGUAAGUCAGAUGUGAAAUCCCCGGGCUUAACCUGGGAACUGCGUUUGAAACUACAAGGCUAGAGUGUGGCAGAGGGGGGUGGAAUUCCACGUGUAGCAGUGAAAUGCGUAGAGAUGUGGAGGAACACCAGAGUGGAGCGACGUCA
rnacentral:rRNA from 1 species